rnacentral:rRNA from 1 species
UACGAAGGGGGCUAGCGUUAUUCGGAUUUACUGGGCAUAAAGCGCGCGUAGGCGGCUUGGCAAGUCGGGGGUGAAAGCCCGCAGCUCAACUGCGGAACUGCCUUCGAUACUGCCGGGCUUGAGGGCGGGAGGGGUGAUUGGAACUCCAGGUGUAGCGGUGAAAUGCGUAGAUAUCUGGAGGAACACCGGAGGCGAAGGCGAAUCACUGGACCGCAUCUGACGCUGAGGCGCGAAAGCUAGGGGAGCAAACAGG